AACAGGAUUAAAAGUUGGGGUGCCCAGAAGAAGAUGAUUAAAUCAUGAGAGUGGAGCCCUCAUGGAUGGGAUUGGUGCCCUUAUAAAAGGGACUGAUAGAGGGAGUCUGUCCGCUGAGACGGCAUUUGGGGUCCUGGCGUUAGACCCGCCUCUUAAUUUCACAGCUACAUGAGCACCUAGAUUGCCUUGUUUGAUUAGCUAGUUUCAGGUUGACAUUUAACUUUUAACCCAAAGUGUCCUAAUACAUCCUUUUCCAAGGAAUCACUCAGUUCCAGAAACAGGCAGCAUCAGAAAGGAGAUUCAGGCUGGGCAUGGUGGCUCAUGCCUAUAAUCCUUUGAGAUUUGAUAAAAGGCUGGUCGGCUUCCCCCAGACCAAUAUCAUUAGGUCCACAGUCAACAUUUUGCAUACAGAUAUAGUGGGUAGACCCUCAGAGCCCAUCCAUUGAGUCACUAGGGACCUCUGGAUCUCCAGCAAAGACAGCUGUUGGUUGUGACUGGUUAGUGACUGUGGUAAUCUUGGGGGUGAAGCUCCAGCCUGAGUCUAAUGACACAUUAUCUGUGUAGGAGAAAAUGUAUCUUUUGGGGCUCAGCUCAGACUCUACAUCUCUCCUCCUGGGCCUCCUUGAUGAAAUUAAUUGGGGCAGGCAGGGGGAAAUUGACAUUUUAGAAGCCAGUUUUCAUUCUUGGACUGAAAGAAACUGUUCCAGUGCCUGUUUACCUGGGCUGCAACACACACACACAUGCACACACACAUACACACACAUGCACACACAGAUGACAUGAGCCCCUGAGGUUGCUGUAAUCUAGGAGGCCACAGUCCAGAGCAAUUGCAUUGAAAGCAGCCACCCAUCUCAACACUGCAGCCAACGAGAGUGAAAUCAGGGAACACAUUCCAGGUCCAGGCAAUGAAGGAGAAAAUGUGCCAGCUCCUGCCACAGCCGUUACUUACACAGGUUUUCCACCUGCAAUGUAUUUCCCAAGGCUGUGUUUCUCUGACGCUGGCUCUGCCUACACCCACAAAGCAAGAUAAGAGGGAAAGUGGUGGCUGGACACAGUGGCUUACGCCUGUAAUCUCGACACUUUGAGAGGCUGAGGAAGGAGGAUGCCUUGAGGCCAGGAGUUCGACAAUAUAGCAAGACCCCAUCUGUACAAGAUAUUUAAAAAUUAUCUGGACAUAGUGGUGUGCAUCUGUAGUCUCAGUUACUUGAGAGGCUGAGGUGGCAAGAUCUCUUGAGCUGGGGAGGUUGAGGCCUCAGUGAGCCAAGAUUACACCAUUGCACUGCAGCCUGACUGACGGAGUGAGACCUUGUCUAUAUUUAAUAAAGAAAAAAGGAAAGCAGAGCCUUGGACAUGGCUUGGCCUAGUACACACCUGUCUCCUUGGUGCAUUCAUCCUAUGGAGCCCAGGGGGUCUUGAGCUGUGAACUCGUGAGGGUUGGACAGAGACCCCAAGCCUCUGCUGCUUUACUGUGAAUACAAUUUGCAUUACUAGAUUAUGCUCCAGGCAUCAUUACAACUACUUGCAGAUAUUAACUCAUUUAAUCCUCAUUGAUGUCCACAUCCUGGUUUAUCAAUGAGGAGACAGCCACGGGGAGGUUAAGUAGUGUGCUCGGGUCACAUUGUCUGGGCAUGGUGGGGUCGUCAGUGAGUGUCUUGCUCUGACUUGGAAGGGAAGUAAGGAGUUUCCCGAGGUUCCUCUUGCUCAACUGCACCCUCCCUCACCCCUCACCUCUCCAGGGCUCCGAUUUACCAACAGACACCCUCAGGGCACAGCUUGGGAGUCAUUCAGACAAAUGAAUGCUCAACUGAGAAAUGGGUAGAAACACCAAAUACAUGCUGAAUACCAGCUCAAUGCAGAUAUUGA
rnacentral:lncRNA from 1 species